ACCAUCAGUUCUAAAUGCAUGCAUAGCAUCCAUGUGAAACCACCUAGAGAUGAGGCAUACACAAACCUAAAUAUUAAACCACCUUUCUUGCAAGGACAUGGGUACACACUUCGUCUGAAAAUAGAUACGGGGGCAUCUGGAAACACACUUCCAUUGCGUACAUUCAAGCAGAUGUAUGGUGCAUCUCCACAAAGCAUGGAACAUUUAAAAUCAGCAUCCAACGUAAAACUAACGUCAUACACUGGCGAUGUGAUUCCCUGCUUUGGAACCAUCAACAUGCCAUGCCAACACAAAAAGUCCAGAUGGAUAGAUGUAAAGUUUUAUGUCGUUGAUGUACCUGGACCAGCCGUGGUUGGACUACCCACAAGUGAACUCCUCAACCUUGUGACGGUAAAUGUUGAUGCAAUGUCUGAAAGAGAAAAUAAGGGACAUGGAGAACGACAAACAAAAGUGAGUACCUAUCAACAAAUAAAAGGCAUCAAAGAACUAAAAGAGCAAUAUCCAGACCAAUUUGACAAAAUUGGCAGUUUCAGUGGCACAGCAAAGCUCAUCCUAAAGGAAAGUGCCAAUCCAUUCAUCGACCCACCACGCAAAUGCAGUAUCCACAUAAAGGACAAACUUCAAGAUGAGUUGAAUAGACUUGUCGACCAAGGAGUCCUGCGAAAAGUAGAAGAACACACAGAUUGGUGUUCUAGUCUUGCCUUCAGCACUAAAAAAGAUGGAUCACUUCGAAUCUGCUUAGAUCCUCAGAAACUAAAUGCAAGCCUGAAGAGGUGCCCUCACAAAAUUCCAACUGUAGAGGAACUAAACCCAAAAUUUGCAAAUGCAAAAGUGUUCAGCAAGCUAGACGCAAAAGCCGGAUACUGGUCGAUACAUCUUGAAGAGGAGUCACAGACUCUAACCACGUUCCGCACUCCUUUUGGCAGAUACUGCUGGAGACGCUUACCAUUUGGUCUCAGUGUGUCCCAAGACCUUUUCCAAGCCAAAAUGGACCAAAUUCUUGAAGGUCUUCAUGGUGUAAUCAGCAUAGCAGACGACGUUGCAGUUUGUGGAGUUGACGAGGAGGAUCAUGACAGAAAUCUGACAAGCCUGAUGGAAAGAGCUGUAGAAACAGGUCUGGUGUUUAACAGUGACAAGUGCAUCAUCAAACAGCAGAGCAUAUCUUUUUUUGGCAACCUGUACACAGACAAAGGCAUCAGACCAGAUCCAGCCAAAAUCCACGACAUACAAAAAAUGCCGACGCCACAAAACAAAGAUGACCUUCAUCGAUUCAUGGGCAUGCUAAACUACCUGUCAC
ensembl:lncRNA